AAAGGGAAGCCACCUGGCGACAGGGAGCGAAUCCCCAAACCACGUCUCAGUUCGGAUCGGAGUCUGCAACCCGACUCCGUGAAGCUGGAUUCGCUAGUAAUCGCGCAUCAGCCAUGGCGCGGUGAAUACGUUCCCGGGCCUUGUACACACCGCCCGUCAAGCCAUGGAAGCCGGGAGUGUCUGAAGUGCGUGACCGCAAGGAGCGUCCUAAGGCAAUACCGGUGACUGGGGCUAAGUCGUAACAAGGUAAC
rnacentral:rRNA from 1 species